CCCCAAGUUUUGGACUCAAUCCGAUAUCGAUUGGUCCAUGAAAUUGGACAAUUCAGGUUCGUAUGAAGUUCGUUAUGAAAUGGAGUGCUUGGUGUAUUGCACAGUUGUAGAGAUUCGAUUUCACUCAAAACCCGCCAAAUGACUCCUCCCACCGUAUUAUGAUGUUUCCCAAGUUUUGAACUUAAUCCGAUAUCGAUUGGUCCAUGAAAUUGGACAAUUCAGGUUCGUAUGAAGUUCGUUAUGAAAUGGAGUGCUUGGUGUAUUGCACAGUUGUAGAGAUUCGAUUUCACUCAAAACACGCCAAAUGACUCAUCCCACC
rnacentral:lncRNA from 1 species